rnacentral:rRNA from 1 species
AGUGAACGCUGGCGGUAGGCCUAACACAUGCAGGUCGAACGGCAGCACAGUAAGAGCUUGCUCUUACGGGUGGCGAGUGGCGGACGGGUGAGGAAUACAUCGGAAUCUACUUUUUCGUGGGGGAUAACGUAGGGAAACUUACGCUAAUACCGCAUACGACCUACGGGUGAAAGCAGGGGAUCUUCGGACCUUGCGCGAUUGAAUGAGCCGAUGUCGGAUUAGCUAGUUGGCGGGGUAAAGGCCCACCAAGGCGACGAUCCGUAGCUGGUCUGAGAGGAUGAUCAGCCACACUGGAACUGAGACACGGUCCAGACUCCUACGGGAGGCAGCAGUGGGGAAUAUUGGACAAUGGGCGCAAGCCUGGUCCAGCCAUACCGCGUGGGUGAAGAAGGCCUUCGGGUUGUAAAGCCCUUUGUUGGGAAAGAAAAGCAGCAGGUUAAUACCCCGCUGUUCUGACGGUACCCAAAGAAUAAGCACCGGCUAACUUCGUG